GCGCCAAGCGCAUUUGCUUGGGGCGACCUAAUGGAGUGAACCCGAGCCUGCCGGCUUCCGCACUUGCCCAAACAGCUCCUGCGCCACGAAGUGCAACGCCAUGGCUGGAUGCGCUGGGAGGACACAGUGCCGAUAUGGCAUUUAUGCGGGAGCGUGGACGUGAUGUCGCUGUCGGUCCUGUUCAGCAGCCAGCGCCUCAACUGUUGGGUGGUUUUGUCGCACCGAAUGGAUGCGUUGUGCAGCGUCCGAUUGUGGAUAUGCACCCGAACAAGAACCGUGGCAGACGCAAGCUGUAGUGCGAUGUACAUGCGUGGGUCGGAGCGUGGAUAUGCGGAUUCAUCAUCGUUGUUUGUUAAUGCAUCGGUUGUGGUUAUGUCAUGUGUUUUUGUUGUACGCGUGGUGACAGGGAUGAUUUGUUGUUUUUAGUUAUGCGAGCGGUACCGGG